GUGACACAGGCCAGUACAAAAACCUUACUCAGCUGUGCAUACGCUCAGUCUAGGAAAUUUAAAUAACUACCAAAAUUGCCAGAUUGUUCAAAAUAGAUACUGACUACUGUUUACUGGAUUCUGGUGUUCCUUCAUAACCUGAGACCUGGAUGUGCAGGGUUGAAGUGAGCCGGGAGCCUAUCCCAGGAAAUACAGGACAUGUGGCCAGGAUCCCUGGAAAAUGUCACUCCAUAGCAGUGCACAGACACUCACUAAGAGCAAUUUAGAGACACCAGUUCAGCUUUGUACAUGUUUUUGGACUGCAGGAGGAAGGACCCAGAGGAGACCCAUGUGGGCCCAGAGAGAAGAUGCAAACUGCACACACUGAGAGCUGCAGUCAGAUACGGACCCCACAGCCUGGGAGGCCUCAUUACUAAUUACUGAGCUAAAGUGGUUUAAAAAUCCUGCAGUAUUUCAUGUACUAUUUUCAGUUAAGCGUAUGCAUGUGCUUGUUUCUUCAUUGGUGAUGAGACACUUCUGUGAAAAUGAAAUACAUUUUUAAAGGAAUGAUUAGGUGAGUGAGGGUUACUGUCAGUGAGGAAAACUGUGAAUGAGCCACCCACUGUAGAUUAGCAGGUAUUUCCUAGAUGAUCUGAUAGGGCCACACUAGCAUCUUCCCGCUGAUUCUGGCACAAGGCAACAUUAGACCUGAAUAUCUACCCUGACACAUGGCCAGUUGCAUGACGAAAUGUAGACAUAAUGCUACCCAUAAUCCUGUGCAGCUGAUUGCCCAUGUGAAAAGUGUCCCACCAUGAGAGUGACUGAGUGCAUGUUAAAGGUAUAAGAGGCUCAGGCUGUGGCUGAGACAGAUACAAAGCAGGAGUGUGAAUUCUGUAUUGUUUUUUAAGACAUUAAAAGGGCCCUAUGUUUCUCCAAA